AUCUAGUCACGGUCGAAAAUAGUGAAAUCGGUCUAAUUUGAAUAUAUUUCUGUUUAUACCGCUAUUCAAUCGUUUGAAAGCUGUGGUCGGGCUGGCCAAGUGCCGUAAAGGAUUAUCUGGUCGAUUACCGUAGUAAUAAUUAUGACAGACUAAGAAUGAUGGGACGAAAACUGCAGUACUUUGUGUCCAACACCAGGGCAAUAGGAAAGCCACUGGUCAUGGAAAACGAGCUUAUUGUCGGAGAUAGCAGUGAAAAACGAGGCGCCGAAAAUGGGCUUCUGCGUUCUUCGUGGAAAUCGUGCAAGGGAGCUGACAUGAAAGGCAGUUCCGCGGCUCUAGCUAAAGGUGAGAGCAAAGGUGUUUCGUUUAAUAGCAGGUCCAGAGAAAGGCCACCAUGAAACGAACAAAUUGACAGGAUGGAGUGGAAAACGAAGCACUGGAAAACGAAGCAUUUUACGUUGAGGACGAUCACUUGCAGAUGUUCCGACUUGGGUAGUUAACCAUGCAAAGAAUACCAGAAACCGGUAAUGUGCGGCCAACUUUAUUUGUGAUUGUGUCAAAGAAUUGCGGAAUAAUAAUAACGAAGAGAUUGUGAUGCUACUGGA